rnacentral:rRNA from 1 species
UACAUGCAAGUCGAGCGAACAGAAGGGAGCUUGCUCCCGGAUGUUAGCGGCGGACGGGUGAGUAACACGUGGGUAACCUGCCUGUAAGACUGGGAUAACUCCGGGAAACCGGAGCUAAUACCGGAUAGUUCCUUGAACCGCAUGGUUCAAGGAUGAAAGACGGUUUCGGCUGUCACUUACAGAUGGACCCGCGGCGCAUUAGCUAGUUGGUGGGGUAAUGGCUCACCAAGGCGACGAUGCGUAGCCGACCUGAGAGGGUGAUCGGCCACACUGGGACUGAGACACGGCCCAGACUCCUACGGGAGGCAGCAGUAGGGAAUCUUCCGCAAUGGACGAAAGUCUGACGGAGCAACGCCGCGUGAGUGAUGAAGGUUUUCGGAUCGUAAAGCUCUGUUGUUAGGGAAGAACAAGUGCGAGAGUAACUGCUCGCACCUUGACGGUACCUAACCAGAAAGCCACGGCUAACUACGUGCCAGCAGCCGCGGUAAUACGUAGGUGGCAAGCGUUGUCCGGAAUUA